CUCUUUGACAGUUCGCUAACAAAACAAUUAAAUUUUCAAAGUUGAAAAAGAUCGAAUAAUUUUAUGUUAAAAACGAAAAUGGAAAACAAAGAGUAUUUUAAUUUGGUUUCUCAGUAUUUACAAAAUGAAGAGGAGCUUAUGAUUUUGAGUUCUGGUAUACUAGCAUUUUUAAAUGAAAUGCCAUCUAGCUCCAGCUAGGAAUCUUCAUCAAGGUCUGAGGAAACGGAUAAGGAGGAAAACAAUAAAUGCCAAAACUUUUGCGAAGUCUUUGAAGGCUAUGGCGAGAAUGAAUUCAAAUCGCACAUGAGAUUGCGAAGUUCGACCGUGGAAUAUUUAAUAGAGAUAUAUACAAAUAGCAUUGAGCCGAAAAAAAAUACUGGUGGAAGAUUAAUUGUACCACCUAGAAAAAAGUUGUAUAUUUAUAUUUGGUACAAGAGUAACUUUUCGGCAACUUGCUAAUUUGUUUGGAGUGUCUUCUUCAACUGCUUCGACUUUAGUAGCGAUUGUGAUGUGCUGAACACAUAGAAGACGACAAGCGACGAGCGACAUCUGUCAAAUAUUAAAAUACACGCGUUCUUAUGAGCACAGAUUUUUUGACAACAGCACGACUUCACGACAAAAGGGUUGAAGUCUUCGCUGUCGCCAAAUUAGAAAUGUUUCUAAUUUUGCCGACGACAAUGGCCGCUGUAGAGCUGCCACUAAUAUGUGAAAUGUAAAAUUAUUCAAAGUUCUAACAAGUAUGACGUUAUUUUGCCAGCAGAAACGUAAAAUAACUUUGAUAUAUCAUUUAUAAUAACAAUCGAUAAUUUAAAACAAAUAAAUCGACCAUUUUUUACAUUUUUUUAACAAAUAAUUUCACUUUAAACUAAAUAUGUAAAUUUUAUUGAAAUGAAAGAUGUUAGUACGGCAACAAUGAAAUUGCUGUUUGAUAUGUCGCUGCAGUCUUCAAUAUGUUCAAGACGCUGGCUUCAAAGCGACAUUUAUGAUCAGCCGUCGCUACGUCGUGUCGUGUCGUCGUCUUUGUGUUCAGCACUUGACUAGUUGGGUUAUAUCAAUUUCUCACGAAUACAUACGAUGCAAGAAUGAUUGAAGACAAGCUCACGACCAGAGAACGGCAUUUGCUGAAUGAAAAACAUUCGUACGCGCUCAACAGCCGAAUAAUCACACUGUUCGGAUCAGCCGAUCAAACUUGCCUGAGCUCACAUUUUCGUUGUUGAUUUUAAAUUCACUCGUGUGUGUGCGAUUUUUUGUUUCACUCCGAGUUUGUUCGGCUCGUGUUCAAUAUAAUGAUUUCGGGCGCUUGCUCAUUCGGUUCAACAAUCAUUGUUUUGAACAAGAACAACACUCAACUCGCAAAAAUCAAUUCGUAUGAUUUUACUCAUGCGCGCAGCAAGCGGCACUUUUUCUGCACAGAUGAAAUGUGAGAAGAAGAACAAGACAAGCUACAACAACAAACUGCAUAUAAAUUGUUACGGUACAUGCAGUCGUAACGCUCACAGCGUGUCGUCUUGUCGCUAAUUGUUUACUCAUAAUCGAUCAACUCAAAUUGAACCGAAUGAUGCUUUCGUCAACACAGGCUCAUUUUAUUGAACGCUGACUUUUGUUCAGUGAGUUGAAUUGAGUGAGAAAUUUUGAACCGAGGACUCAAAAUCCAAAGAAUGAUGUGUACGGCAAAUUGAGUUGAUUUUUACUCAUCACUCUGUUUUUUUCAGUGAGUUGAGUUGAAUGAAAAAGGUCGCGUAUGAGUAAAUCAAGAAAAUAGUGAUUUUUGCAGUUCUCUGCUCACGACCCACGAAUGGGAAUAGGCAACAGAUGAAUUGUCAAAUGGAAAAAGGAAAUGAAAAAUAUAGUGAACCAAAUUGAUUAAUGUGCAGAUAAAAUAUCACAAUCAUCGUAAUUCUUAAAAUCGUUAUCUGAUAAAAUGAUCGCAAAAAUGUUCAUGCACCAACAAUACCCGAACUAUCAGCCCAUUCGGCUCAAGCGCUCAAACUGGCAUUCGUGAAUGUUUUCGCUACUGAGCUAAAUUCAGCUCAAUUGCGGUAAAUUCGUGUGCUUGCUGAGUUUAUUCACGCUCGUGUUGAAGCAGCUCUACUCAGGCGUUCGCUCAUUCGGCUCAACAAUGAUCGUGUUGAAUGAAAACAAAAACACAAAAGAGCAAACUCAACGCCUAUGAGCAAACUCAAUGGGUAUGAGCAAACUCAACAAUAGAACACAAUGUGUACCAAAUUCUUAGCGCAAUGCAUGUGACGCAUAAGCUGAUCGCGAACAAAGCAUACAAAAACAAUAUAUAUACCAGAGAACUGCAAAACUCACUUCUUCCUUGAAUCAGCUCAUACGCAAAAGUUUCUAUUCACUUCCAAUCACUGAGCGAAAGUGAGCUAAACAUUUCGUGAAGUGAGCAAACGUGAGCAAAGCAUUUCGGACCGAAGGCUCACAUUGUACGCGAAUGAGCGGUGCGGCAACAUGAGCUGAUUUUUACUCAACGCUGUGUUUCGCUCAGUGAUUGGAAUUGAAUAGAAACUUUUGCGUAUGAGCUGAUUCAAGGAAAAAGUGAGUUUUGCAGUUCCCUGGUAUAGACUGCACUCAUAUCCGUAUAAAAGCUUCUAGAGAAAAUAAUGACAAUUAUUUUGAUAUAGCAUACAUCGCAACGAAAUUUCAACAAAUUAAACUCUUCUACACGUAUAGCUGUAGAAAUGCUUUUGGCUUAUCAAAAACAAGGUUUUGAAGAUUAUUACAUUUUACCGAACAAAUAUUUGUUUUGUGGUGAAUAUAACUGUUAGUGCUUGUGUUCUCCAUAAUAUAUGUAUAAUGAUGAUUUACAUAAGUAUUGAAAAUGAAGAUUUCGAAAACAGUUUACAAGAUGAGCCCCAUGAAGUUCAUCAACAAAGAAAUAGUAAUAGGCGAGAUGAAUUAUUUCAAUAUUUGCAACACCAUAACUUAAUAUAAAUAAAAACAUGAAAUUUAAAUAAAGCAAAUUCUUUUUAUUCCAAAUUGCUUUAUUAAAUUCAGUAUAUGCAUGAAGCACGAUAAAAACUUCAGGAAAUCAUUACCUUAAAGUUAUAAAAACUUAUGAAAAAUUAAUUUAAAU